rnacentral:rRNA from 1 species
AAAUUGAAGAGUUUGAUCAUGGCUCAGAUUGAACGCUGGCGGCAGGCCUAACACAUGCAAGUCGAGCGGUAGCACAGAGAGCUUGCUCUCGGGUGACGAGCGGCGGACGGGUGAGUAAUGUCUGGGAAACUGCCUGAUGGAGGGGGAUAACUACUGGAAACGGUAGCUAAUACCGCAUAACGUCGCAAGACCAAAGUGGGGGACCUUCGGGCCUCAUGCCAUCAGAUGUGCCCAGAUGGGAUUAGCUAGUAGGUGGGGUAACGGCUCACCUAGGCGACGAUCCCUAGCUGGUCUGAGAGGAUGACCAGCCACACUGGAACUGAGACACGGUCCAGACUCCUACGGGAGGCAGCAGUGGGGAAUAUUGCACAAUGGGCGCAAGCCUGAUGCAGCCAUGCCGCGUGUGUGAAGAAGGCCUUCGGGUUGUAAAGCACUUUCAGCGGGGAGGAAGGCGUUAAGGUUAAUAACCUCAUCGAUUGACGUUACCCGCAGAAGAAGCACCGGCUAACUCCGUGCCAGCAGCCGCGGUAAUACGGAGGGUGCAAGCGUUAAUCGGAAUUACUGGGCGUAAAGCGCACGCAGGCGGUCUGUCAAGUCGGAUGUGAAAUCCCCGGGCUCAACCUGGGAACUGCAUUCGAAACUGGCAGGCUAGAGUCUUGUAGAGGGGGGUAGAAUUCCAGGUGUAGCGGUGAAAUGCGUAGAGAUCUGGAGGAAUACCGGUGGCGAAGGCGGCCCCCUGGACAAAGACUGACGCUCAGGUGCGAAAGCGUGGGGAGCAAACAGGAUUAGAUACCCUGGUAGUCCACGCCGUAAACGAUGUCGAUUUGGAGGUUGUGCCCUUGAGGUGUGGCUUCCGGAGCUAACGCGUUAAAUCGACCGCCUGGGGAGUACGGCCGCAAGGUUAAAACUCAAAUGAAUUGACGGGGGCCCGCACAAGCGGUGGAGCAUGUGGUUUAAUUCGAUGCAACGCGAAGAACCUUACCUGGUCUUGACAUCCACAGAACUUUCCAGAGAUGGAUUGGUGCCUUCGGGAACUGUGAGACAGGUGCUGCAUGGCUGUCGUCAGCUCGUGUUGUGAAAUGUUGGGUUAAGUCCCGCAACGAGCGCAACCCUUAUCCUUUGUUGCCAGCGGUCCGGCCGGGAACUCAAAGGAGACUGCCAGUGAUAAACUGGAGGAAGGUGGGGAUGACGUCAAGUCAUCAUGGCCCUUACGACCAGGGCUACACACGUGCUACAAUGGCAUAUACAAAGAGAAGCGACCUCGCGAGAGCAAGCGGACCUCAUAAAGUAUGUCGUAGUCCGGAUUGGAGUCUGCAACUCGACUCCAUGAAGUCGGAAUCGCUAGUAAUCGUAGAUCAGAAUGCUACGGUGAAUACGUUCCCGGGCCUUGUACACACCGCCCGUCACACCAUGGGAGUGGGUUGCAAAAGAAGUAGGUAGCUUAACCUUCGGGAGGGCGCUUACCACUUUGUGAUUCAUGACUGGGGUGAAGUCGUAACAAGGUAACCGUAGGGGAACCUGCGGUUGGAUCACCUCCUUACCUUAAAGAA